AAAUGGCCCGCGCUAGGGAUAGCAGUGAAAAGCCCACAGCAGGGCCAAUGGUAAUUGGACCUACGAGGACUUGUAGCGUAUAGCCCGACCCUUG
rnacentral:ncRNA from 2 species